CUUCCGUAGGGGUAACCUGCGGAGGGAUUGCUCUGGACGUUCGGCUCUACAACCCUUUGUGAACAUACCUAUAACUGUUGCUUCGGCGGGUAGGGUCUCCGUGACCCUCCCGGCCUCCCGCCCCCGGGCGGGUCGGCGCCCGCCGGAGGAUAACCAAACUCUGAUUUAACGACGUUUCUUCUGAGUGGUACAAGCAAAUAAUCAAAACUUUUAACAACGGAUCUCUUGGUUCUGGCAUCGAUGAAGAACGCAGCGAAAUGCGAUAAGUAAUGUGAAUUGCAGAAUUCAGUGAAUCAUCGAAUCUUUGAACGCACAUUGCGCCCGCCAGCAUUCUGGCGGGCAUGCCUGUUCGAGCGUCAUUUCAACCCUCAAGCUCUGCUUGGUGUUGGGGCCCUACAGCUGAUGUAGGCCCUCAAAGGUAGUGGCGGACCCUCCCGGAGCCUCCUUUGCGUAGUAACUUUACGUCUCGCACUGGGAUCCGGAGGGACUCUUGCCGUAAAACCCCCAAUUUUCCAAAGGUUGACCUCGGAUCAGGUAGGAAUACCCGCUGAACUUAAGCAUAUCAAUAGGCCGGAGGAA
rnacentral:rRNA from 1 species